rnacentral:piRNA from 1 species
UAAUUUAUUAUGAAGGAUGUUGUUGC